rnacentral:rRNA from 1 species
GACAGAGGGUGCAAACGUUGUUCGGAAUUACUGGGCGUAAAGCGUGUGUAGGCGGCCACGUAAGUCGGAUGUGAAAGCCCCAGGCUCAACCUGGGAAGUGCACUCGAUACUGCGUGGCUUGAGUAUCGGAGAGGUUGGUGGAAUUCUCGGUGUAGAGGUGAAAUUCGUAGAUAUCGAGAGGAACACCGGUGGCGAAGGCGGCCAACUGGACGAAUACUGGCGCUGAGACACGAAAGCGUGGGGAGCAAACAGG